GAAUGAUGAGUCUGGAGCCCCCUGAAUUAGUGAUGAAGUUUCGCGGGUCUGACC
rnacentral:snoRNA from 1 species